rnacentral:rRNA from 1 species
CACUAUGCCUAGCCCUAAACAUUGAUGGCCCCCCACUUAAACCAUCCGCCAGGGAACUACGAGCAUUAGCUUAAAACCCAAAGGACUUGGCGGUGCUUUAGAUCCACCUAGAGGAGCCUGUUCUAGAACCGAUAACCCCCGUUCAACCUCACCUUUCCUUGUUCAACCCGCCUAUAUACCACCGUCGUCAGCUUAUCCUGUGAAGGCCUUUUAAUAAGCAAAACUGGCAUAGCCUAAAACGUCAGGUCGAGGUGUAGCGUACGGAAAGGGAAGUAAUGGGCUACAUUCCCUAUCCUAGGUAAUCACGGACGAUAUACUGAAAUAUAUAUCUAAAGGAGGAUUUAGUAGUAAGAGAAGAAUAGAGAGCUUCUCUGAAACCGGCCCUGAAGCGCGCACACACCGCCCGUCACUCUCCCCAAGCUCUCAUCAACCCUAUAAUUAAUUCACCAACUUUGCUAAGGGGAGGCAAGUCGUAA